rnacentral:lncRNA from 1 species
UCCUCCUUGCUGCCCCAGUCUCACUGCCCUCCAGCAGAGGCCACCUCUCAGAGUCCUGCACUACUCAAACAACCAGCAAGGGCUUGGCACUGGGCUCCUUGGGAAACGCCUGCCAGGCUGAAUUGUUCAAGGCUGGAAUCACAGCUGAAUGACUCACCCUGCCCAAGAUGCCCGCGUUAAUCCAGCGACUUCAUUCCAGUCACCACUUGUUACCGAGUGCCGAAGCCGAGAAAGAGAGAAGGCUUGAGAGGGAGGGCAGAUCCCCCCCCACACGCGGUAUCUACAUCUGAAAGGCAGCCUUUCUGCUGGAGGCCAGCUUGACUUCCUACACCGCCACUCCCUUACAGUCUUGAAAGCCAGCAAGAACUGUUCCGCUGCAAAAGUAGCUGCCUGGAUUCCAAGGUGAGUCAGAUAUUAUCCCCCAUCUAAGUAGACCAGGUGGGGAGUUCCCGUCGUGGCGCUGCAGAAACCAGUCUGACUAGUAUUCAUGAGGAUGCAGGUUCGAUCCCUGGUCUCCCUCAGAGGGUUAAGGAUCUGGCAUUGCCGUGAGCUGUGGUGUAGUUCGCAGACACAGCUUGGAUCCCGCAUUGCUGCGGCUGUGGUGUAGGCCAGCAGCUGUAGCUCUGAUUGGACCCCUAGCCUGGGAACCUCCAUAUGUGGCAGGUGCGGCCCUGAAAAAAAAAAAAAAAAGCAGUAGACCAAGAGGUGGCUCGAUGAUUGGA